rnacentral:tRNA from 1 species
AGUGUUCCGCUUAGUGGACAUGACAUCUGCCCAGUAAGCGGAACACUGUGGGUUCGAUUCCCAUCCCUGGACACUU